rnacentral:rRNA from 1 species
AGCGUACACGGUGGAUGCCCUGGCAGUCAGAGGCGAUGAAGGACGUGCUAAUCUGCGAUAAGCGUCGGUAAGGUGAUAUGAACCGUUAUAACCGGCGAUUUCCGAAUGGGGAAACCCAGUGUGUUUCGACACACUAUCAUUAACUGAAUCCAUAGGUUAAUGAGGCGAACCGGGGGAACUGAAACAUCUAAGUACCCCGAGGAAAAGAAAUCAACCGAGAUUCCCCCAGUAGCGGCGAGCGAACGGGGAGCAGCCCAGAGCCUGAAUCAGUGUGUGUGUUAGUGGAAGCGUCUGGAAAGGCGCGCGAUACAGGGUGACAGCCCCGUACACAAAAAUGCACAUGCUGUGAGCUCGAUGAGUAGGGCGGGACACGUGGUAUCCUGUCUGAAUAUGGGGGGACCAUCCUCCAAGGCUAAAUACUCCUGACUGACCGAUAGUGAACCAGUACCGUGAGGGAAAGGCGAAAAGAACCCCGGCGAGGGGAGUGAAAAAGAACCUGAAACCGUGUACGUACAAGCAGUGGGAGCACGCUUAGGCGUGUGACUGCGUACCUUUUGUAUAAUGGGUCAGCGACUUAUAUUCUGUAGCAAGGUUAACCGAAUAGGGGAGCCGAAGGGAAACCGAGUCUUAACUGGGCGUUAAGUUGCAGGGUAUAGACCCGAAACCCGGUGAUCUAGCCAUGGGCAGGUUGAAGGUUGGGUAACACUAACUGGAGGACCGAACCGACUAAUGUUGAAAAAUUAGCGGAUGACUUGUGGCUGGGGGUGAAAGGCCAAUCAAACCGGGAGAUAGCUGGUUCUCCCCGAAAGCUAUUUAGGUAGCGCCUCGUGAAUUCAUCUCCGGGGGUAGAGCACUGUUUCGGCAAGGGGGUCAUCCCGACUUACCAACCCGAUGCAAACUGCGAAUACCGGAGAAUGUUAUCACGGGAGACACACGGCGGGUGCUAACGUCCGUCGUGAAGAGGGAAACAACCCAGACCGCCAGCUAAGGUCCCAAAGUCAUGGUUAAGUGGGAAACGAUGUGGGAAGGCACAGACAGCCAGGAUGUUGGCUUAGAAGCAGCCAUCAUUUAAAGAAAGCGUAAUAGCUCACUGGUCGAGUCGGCCUGCGCGGAAGAUGUAACGGGGCUAAACCAUGCACCGAAGCUGCGGCAGCGACGCUUAUGCGUUGUUGGGUAGGGGAGCGUUCUGUAAGCCUGCGAAGGUGUGCUGUGAGGCAUGCUGGAGGUAUCAGAAGUGCGAAUGCUGACAUAAGUAACGAUAAAGCGGGUGAAAAGCCCGCUCGCCGGAAGACCAAGGGUUCCUGUCCAACGUUAAUCGGGGCAGGGUGAGUCGACCCCUAAGGCGAGGCCGAAAGGCGUAGUCGAUGGGAAACAGGUUAAUAUUCCUGUACUUGGUGUUACUGCGAAGGGGGGACGGAGAAGGCUAUGUUGGCCGGGCGACGGUUGUCCCGGUUUAAGCGUGUAGGCUGGUUUUCCAGGCAAAUCCGGAAAAUCAAGGCUGAGGCGUGAUGACGAGGCACUACGGUGCUGAAGCAACAAAUGCCCUGCUUCCAGGAAAAGCCUCUAAGCAUCAGGUAACAUCAAAUCGUACCCCAAACCGACACAGGUGGUCAGGUAGAGAAUACCAAGGCGCUUGAGAGAACUCGGGUGAAGGAACUAGGCAAAAUGGUGCCGUAACUUCGGGAGAAGGCACGCUGAUAUGUAGGUGAAGCGACUUGCUCGUGGAGCUGAAAUCAGUCGAAGAUACCAGCUGGCUGCAACUGUUUAUUAAAAACACAGCACUGUGCAAACACGAAAGUGGACGUAUACGGUGUGACGCCUGCCCGGUGCCGGAAGGUUAAUUGAUGGGGUUAUCCGUAAGGAGAAGCUCUUGAUCGAAGCCCCGGUAAACGGCGGCCGUAACUAUAACGGUCCUAAGGUAGCGAAAUUCCUUGUCGGGUAAGUUCCGACCUGCACGAAUGGCGUAAUGAUGGCCAGGCUGUCUCCACCCGAGACUCAGUGAAAUUGAACUCGCUGUGAAGAUGCAGUGUACCCGCGGCAAGACGGAAAGACCCCGUGAACCUUUACUAUAGCUUGACACUGAACAUUGAGCCUUGAUGUGUAGGAUAGGUGGGAGGCUUUGAAGUGUGGACGCCAGUCUGCAUGGAGCCGACCUUGAAAUACCACCCUUUAAUGUUUGAUGUUCUAACGUUGACCCGUAAUCCGGGUUGCGGACAGUGUCUGGUGGGUAGUUUGACUGGGGCGGUCUCCUCCUAAAGAGUAACGGAGGAGCACGAAGGUUGGCUAAUCCUGGUCGGACAUCAGGAGGUUAGUGCAAUGGCAUAAGCCAGCUUGACUGCGAGCGUGACGGCGCGAGCAGGUGCGAAAGCAGGUCAUAGUGAUCCGGUGGUUCUGAAUGGAAGGGCCAUCGCUCAACGGAUAAAAGGUACUCCGGGGAUAACAGGCUGAUACCGCCCAAGAGUUCAUAUCGACGGCGGUGUUUGGCACCUCGAUGUCGGCUCAUCACAUCCUGGGGCUGAAGUAGGUCCCAAGGGUAUGGCUGUUCGCCAUUUAAAGUGGUACGCGAGCUGGGUUUAGAACGUCGUGAGACAGUUCGGUCCCUAUCUGCCGUGGGCGCUGGAGAAUUGAGGGGGGCUGCUCCUAGUACGAGAGGACCGGAGUGGACGCAUCACUGGUGUUCGGGUUGUCAUGCCAAUGGCACUGCCCGGUAGCUAAAUGCGGAAGAGAUAAGUGCUGAAAGCAUCUAAGCACGAAACUUGCCCCGAGAUGAGUUCU